rnacentral:rRNA from 1 species
CUCCGUAGGUGAACCUGCGGAGGGAUCAUUACACAAAUAUGAAGGCGGGCUGGAACCUCUCGGGGUUACAGCCUUGCUGAAUUAUUCACCCUUGUCUUUUGCGUACUUCUUGUUUCCUUGGUGGGUUCGCCCACCACUAGGACAAACAUAAACCUUUUGUAAUUGCAAUCAGCGUCAGUAACAAAUUAAUAAUUACAACUUUCAACAACGGAUCUCUUGGUUCUGGCAUCGAUGAAGAACGCAGCGAAAUGCGAUAAGUAGUGUGAAUUGCAGAAUUCAGUGAAUCAUCGAAUCUUUGAACGCACAUUGCGCCCUUUGGUAUUCCAAAGGGCAUGCCUGUUCGAGCGUCAUUUGUACCCUCAAGCUUUGCUUGAUGUUGGGCGUCUUGUCUCUAGCUUUGCUGGAGACUCGCCUUAAAGUAAUUGGCAGCCGGCCUACUGGUUUCGGAGCGCAGCACAAGUCGCACUCUCUAUCAGCAAAGGUCUAGCAUCCAUUAAGCCUUUUUUUCAACUUUUGACCUCGGAUCAGGUAGGGAUACCCGCUGAACUUA